UAGUCCACGCCGUAAACGAUGAUCACUCGAUGUUGGCGAUAUAAUGUCAGCGUCCAAGCGAAGGUGUUAAGUGAUCCACCUGGGGAGUACGAUCGCAAGGUUGAAACUCAAAGGAAUUGACGGGGGCCCGCACAAGCGGUGGAGCAUGUGGUUUAAUUCGAUGAUACGCGAGGAACCCUACCAAGGCUUAAAUGUAUAACGAUCGUUCUGGAAACAGAAUUUUCUUCGGACGGAAUACAAGGUGCUGCAUGGUUGUCGUCAGCUCGUGCCGUGAGGUGUCGGGUUAAGUCCCAUAACGAGCGCAACCCCUAUUCUUAGUUGCCAUCAGGUCAUGCUGGGGACUCUAAGAAACUGCCCGUGCAAACGGUGAGGAAUGUGGGGAUGACGUCAAAUCAUCACGGCCCUUACGUCUUGGGCUACACACGUGCUACAAUGGUGGAUACAAAGGGUUGCUACCUGGUGACAGGAUGCUAAUCUCUAAAGUCCAUCUCAGUUCGGAUUGG
rnacentral:rRNA from 1 species